UUCUGUUUGUUCAGAGGAGCAGCCGAUGCAUGAAGGGUCUUGGGUUUGAUUCCCAGUCAAGGGAACAUACCUGGGUUGCAUAUUCCAUCCCAGGCCCCAUGCUGGGUGGGUGCAGAGACAACCAAUUUAUGUGUCUCUCUCACAUUGAUGUUUCUCUCAGUCUUCCUCACUCUUUCUCUCUUUGUCUCU